UACGUAGGGUCCGAGCGUUGUCCGGAAUACUGGGCGUAAAGCGUGCGCAGGCGGUUUUGUAAGUCUGUCGUGAAAGCCCCGGGCUCAACCUGGGAAUUGCGAUGGAGACUGCAAGGCUUGAAUCUGGCAGAGGGGGGGGUAGAAUUCCACGUGUAGCAGUGAAAUGCGUAGAGAUGUGGAGGAACACCGAUGGCGAAGGCAGCCCCCUGGGUCAAGAUUGACGCUCAUGCACGAAAGCGUGGGGAGCAAACAGG
rnacentral:rRNA from 1 species